AGAAUCUUCCGCAAUGCGCGCAAGCGUGACGGAGCGACGCCGCGUGGGCGAUGAAGGCCUUCGGGUUGUAAAGCCCUGUUAGCUACUAUGAAUCGCGGGUGGUGAACAACCAUCCCGCUUGACGUAAGUGGAAAAGAAAGCACCGGCUAACUACGUGCCAGCAGCCGCGGUAAUACGUAGGGUGCGAACGUUGUUCGGAAUCACUGGGCAUAAAGAGCGCGUAGGCGGUCCAAUAAGUCAGGUGUGAAAUCCCCCGGCUCAACCGGGGAACUGCACCUGAUACUGUUGGGCUUGAGUGCAGGAGGGGAGAGCGGAAUUCCUGGUGGAGCGGUGAAAUGCGUAGAUAUCAGGAGGAACGCCGGCGGCGAAAGCGGCUCUCUGGCCUGUAACUGACGCUGAGGCGCGAAAGCUAGGGGAGCAAAC
rnacentral:rRNA from 1 species